rnacentral:rRNA from 1 species
CCGGCGACCGGCGCACGGGUGAGUAACACGUAUGAAACCUGCCCGUAGCAGGGGGAUAAGCGGAAGAAAUUCCGUCUAAUACCGCGUAACAACCCAUGGAGGCAUCUCUGUGGGUUUAAAGGAAGCGAUUCCGGCUACGGAUGGUCAUGCGUCGCAUUAGCUUGUUGGCGGGGUAACGGCCCACCAAGGCGACGCUGCGUAGGGGUUCUGAGAGGAAGGUCCCCCACACUGGUACUGAGACACGGACCAGACUCCUACGGAAGGCAGCAG